GAUGAACGCUGGCGGCGUGCUUAACACAUGCAAGUUGAACGAGUGGCGGAUGGGCGAGUAACAAGUGGGAACCUGCCUUUCAAUGGGGAAUAACACUGGGAACCCCGUGCUAAUACCGCAUAGUGAACAAUGGCCUCGCGACUGAUUAGCUAGUAGGUGGGGUAAAGGCUCACCUAGGCGACGAUCUCUAGCUGGUCUGAGAGGAUGAUCAGCCACACUGGAACUGAGACACGGCCCAGACUCCUACGGGAGGCAGCAGUUGGGAAUAUUGCACAAUGGGCGCAAGCCUCAUGCAGCCAUGCCGCGUGUAUGAAGAAGGCCUUAGGGUUGUAAAGUACUUUCAGCGGGGAGGCGUUACCCGCAGAAGAAGCACCGGCUAACUCCGUGCCAGCAGCCGCGGUAAUAC
rnacentral:rRNA from 1 species